rnacentral:rRNA from 1 species
CCUACGGGAGGCAGCAGUGGGGAAUUUUGGACAAUGGGCGCAACCCUGAUCCAGCAAUGCCGCGUGCAGGAAGAAGGCCUUCGGGUUGUAAACUKCUUUURUACGGAAAGAAACGGUCUGGGUUAAUACCUCGGGCUAAUGACGGUACCGUAAGAAUAAGCACCG